rnacentral:lncRNA from 1 species
GGGCCGGGAUCGUCUGCCUGCGAGGUGGCGGUGCCUACCACAGCGGGUCGGGAGCUUCUGGGAUCCGAGCCGAGAAACGGGACGCUCGAGUCCAUUUGCAGUCUUCACGUAGGAAACGGUGCUAGAAUCUGAAACGUAGAGAAUGUUGAGAACCUGUCCAAGCCCAUACAGCCAAGGAAUGGCAAAGUUAAGGCCAGGAUCCGAUUUGCCUGACUCACA